rnacentral:rRNA from 1 species
UGGGGAAUAUUGCACAAUGGGCGAAAGCCUGAUGCAGCGACGCCGCGCGAGGGACGAAGGUCUUCGGAUUGUAAACCUCUUUCAGCAGGGACGAAGCGAAAGUGACUGUACCUGCAGAAGAAGCACCGGCUAACUACGUGCCAGCAGCCGCGGUAAUACGUAGGGUGCAAGCGUUGUCCGGAUUUAUUGGGCGUAAAGAGCUCGUAGGCGGUUCGUCACGUCGGAUGUGAAAACCUGGGGCUUAACCCCGGGCCUGCAUACGAUACGGGCGAACUAGAGUUCGGUAGGGGAGACUGGAAUUCCUGGUGUAGCGGUGAAAUGCGCAGAUAUCAGGAGGAACACCGGUGGCGAAGGCGGGUCUCUGGGCCGAUACUGACGCUGAGGAGCGAAAGCGUGGGGAGCAAACA